rnacentral:lncRNA from 1 species
ACUGGGGCUUUUACACAGCUCAAAGACAGUUGGAGAAAAUGAUGACUGGCCUUGCUGGUGAUAGGAAAGGCAGCCUGGAGAUGCCAUUCCUGAAGAGAGAAUGAGGAUCGCAUUACAGACGGGUCUUUAUUGAUAUACUUGACAUCUGCAGCAUACAAACAUGUAUCAGAGAAACAAAUGCUUGAAAUACUUUAUUUUUUAAUUUUUUAAAAUGUAUAUUCUUAUCUCAUAUAUUACAUCUUGACUGCUAUUCAGGUUUCUCUCCCUCCCCUCCCCUCCCCUCAGCCUCUCCUCACCACCCCCUUCUCCCCCAGAUACAUACCCUGCCUUCUUUCAGAAUAGUCAAAUACUUUAAAUAAGAAAAAGAAAACUAUAUUUUCGUACUAUUUAAAGCCAUAUAUUUAAACAUUAGGCAAUAUGAUAGAGUUGUCAAAAUUAGCAGGGACAUUAUUUUUUGUUAUGCUUUUGAAUAGAUAACAAACCGACAGGAGGCAGCAAGUAUCGUGAACAAUGGGGAGGUGCUGCUGUCUGAGUGGAAGGAGAGGUCCUACUUGUGAUAUGUCAUCUGGCAGGCGCGGUUCCCAUCUCAACUAAGAAAAAAAUCUAGAAAAGUACCAGUGACAAAUAAGCAGCUGCCCACAAACACCCAGCUCCAUCUGACCCCCAACUUCUGAUGGGGCAUCAUCUGUUUCAUUCCCUGAACCCUUCUGUCUUCACAUUCUCCAGAAAUAGAGAUGUGAAAGUUACAUCCAUGAUUUAAAAAUAACUGUCGUAGCAAUACCUAGCCCUGCUCGGGGUUGGGUAGAAAAAUGUUGAGGGGAAAACUUGAGGGGUGGGUAGCAAAUAUAAAAUUCUCCUCUGUAGUUUCUCUGGUCUUACUGCAAGAAGUUCCCCCAUAUUCUUUGUUUCCAGAGCUAUGAAAGGAUCAGGAGGACUGGAGCGGUCAGAAGACAGGAAGAGUUAAGACAUCGAAGCCCUGAAGAGAAAGAGUGCAGGAGCUUGAGGUUUUGGCGAGCGAGCUUCAUGUUGGUCCUCCAGGGUAGAGACAUUUUAAAGGAAGAAAUCAGCUCUCGUUCUUUCUCACCAUGGUGCAUCGCCGAAAUCUUUAACACCUUCCAAGGUUGCUGCUGGGGAAAGGAGAUUGCGUUUUUGUUGUUGUUGUUGUUGUUGUUGUUGUUUUGUUUUUUGGAUAUGGUCACUAGUAGGCUCCCUAUGUUCCAGUAGAUGGUCCCACACUCAGGCACACACUAGCCACUCUAAGUGGGUUGGGUGAGUUGAAGAGAGAACAUAUGAAAUUAGGGAGAAAAAGUUGAGGCAAAUAGGAGGAAUUGAAAGUGAGGGAAUGGGAU